rnacentral:rRNA from 1 species
AUUGAACGCUGGCGGCAUGCCUAACACAUGCAAGUCGAACGAGUGGCGGACUGGCGAGUAAGUGCUGGGAAACUGGCUGAUGGAGCGGGAUAACUGCUGGAAACGGUAGCUACUACCGCAUAACAUAGUAUGUGCUCAGAUUGGAUUAGCGAGUAGGUGGGGUAAAGGCUCACCUAGGCGACGAUCCCUAGCUGGUCUGAGAGGAUGACCGGCCACACUGGAACUGAGACACGGUCCAGACUCCUACGGUAGGCAGCAGUGGUGAAUCUUUCACAAUGGGCGAAAGCCUGAUGCAGCCAUGCCGCGUGUAUGAAGAAGGCUGUCGGUUUGUAAAGUACUUUCGGCGGGGAUGCGGUACCCACAGAAGAAGCACCGGCUAACUCCGUGCCAGCAGCCGCGGUAAUAC